rnacentral:rRNA from 2 species
AUGCAAAGAACUUUGAAAAGAGAGUUAAAGAGUACCUGAAACUGCUGAAACGGAAGCGAAGGAAACCAGUGUUUGUUUGUUCAUAUUUCCCUGGCCACUUGUGGUUUGGGCGCUGUGAGCUUGCGUGAGUUUGGGUUGGUUGAUCCCUUUGGAAGAGCGCAGUCAGAGUUGAUGUCUGUUGCUAGCACUGGGUUUGACUGAUGCAGACGAAAUGGUUUUCUUUACCCCGUCUUGAAACACGGACCAAGGAGUCUAACAUAUGUGCGAGUACAGGGGUGUCAAACCCCGGUGCGUAAUGAAAGUGACAGUGGUUGGAAUUUUGCACAAUCCGCCGGCCUCAAUCCCUCGGGAGAACGGUCUGAGUGUGAGCAUACAUGUUGGGACCCGAAAGAUGGUGAACUAUGCCUGAAUAGGGUGAAGCCAGGGGAAACUCUGGUGGAGGCUCGUAGCGAUUCUGACGUGCAAAUCGAUCGUCAAAUUUGGGUAUAGGGGCGAAAGACUAAUCGAACCAUCUAGUAGCUGGUUCCCUCCGAAAUUUCCCUCAGGAUAGCUGCAAUCGAUUUCAAUUUUAUCA